rnacentral:tRNA from 1 species
CGGGGCGUGGCGCAGAUGGGAGCGCGUUUGCAUGGGGCGCAAAAGGUCGCUGGUUCAAGUCCAGUCGCCCCGA